CGUGCCAGCAGCCGCGGUAAUACGUAGGGUGCAAGCGUUAAUCGGAAUUACUGGGCGUAAAGCGUGCGCAGGCGGUUAUGCAAGACAGAUGUGAAAUCCCCGGGCUCAACCUGGGAACUGCAUUUGUGACUGCAUGGCUAGAGUACGGUAGAGGGGGAUGGAAUUCCGCGUGUAGCAGUGAAACGCGUAGAUAUGCGGAGGAACACCGAUGGCGAAGGCAAUCCCCUGGACCUGUACUGACGCUCAUGCACGAAAGCGUGGGGAGCAAACAGGAUUAGAUACCCUGGUAGUCCACGCCCUAAACGAUGUCAACUGGUUGUUGGGAGGGUUUCUUCUCAGUAACGAAGCUAACGCGUGAAGUUGACCGCCUGGGGAGUACGGCCGCAAGGUUGAAACUCAAAGGAGUUGACGGGGACCCGCACAAGCGGUGGAUGAUGUGGUUUAAUUCGAUGCAACGCGAAAAACCUUACCUACCCUUGACAUGUCAGAGAUCCCGUAGAGAUAUGGGAGUGCUCGAAAGAGAAUCUGAACACAGGUGCUGCAUGGCCGUCGUCAGCUCGUGUCGUGAGAUGUUGGGUUAAGUCCCGCAACGAGCGCAACCCUUGUCAUUAGUUGCUACGAAAGGGCACUCUAAUGAGACUGCCGGUGACAAACCGGAGGAAGGUGGGGAUGACGUCAGGUCAUCAUGGCCCUUAUGGGUAGGGCUACACACGUCAUACAAUGGCCGGUACAGAGGGCUGCCAACCCGCGAGGGGGAGCUAAUCCCAGAAAACCGGUCGUAGUCCGGAUCGUAGUCUGCAACUCGACUGCGUGAAGUCGGAAUCGCUAGUAAUCGCGGAUCAGCUUGCCGCGGUGAAUACGUUCCCGGGUCUUGUACACACCGCCCGUC
rnacentral:rRNA from 1 species